rnacentral:rRNA from 1 species
AUUGAACGCUGGCGGCAUGCCUAACACAUGCAAGUCGAACGGAGGUAGGGGCAACUCUACUUCAGUGGCGGACGAGUGAGGAAUGCGUCGGAAUCUACCCUAUGGUGGGGGAUAACACAGGGAAACUUGUGCUAAUACCGCAUAAUGUCGAGAGACCAAAGCAGGGGACCGCAAGGCCUUGCGCGAUAGGAUGAGCCGACGCCCGAUUAGCUAGUUGGUAGGGUAAAGGCCUACCAAGGCGACGAUCGGUAGCUGGUCUGAGAGGAUGAUCAGCCACACUGGGACUGAGACACGGCCCAGACUCCUACGGGAGGCAGCAGUGGGGAAUAUUGGACAAUGGGCGCAAGCCUGAUCCAGCAAUGCCGCGUGUGUGAAGAAGGCCUGCGGGUUGUAAAGCACUUUUGUUCGGGAAGAAAUCAUGCUGGUUAAUACCUGGUAUGGAUGACGGUACCGAAAGAAUAAGCACCGGCUAACUUCGUGCC